rnacentral:tRNA from 1 species
GGGCAUAGCUCAGUGGUAGAGUGUGUGCUUGGCAUGCACGAGGUCCUGGGUUCAAGCCCCAGUACUUCCA